ACACGUAAGUGGCAAGCGUUGUUCGGAAUUAUUGGGCGUAAAGGGCGCGUAGGCGGUUUUACAAGUCUGGUGUGAAAGAUCUCAGCUUAACUGAGGGACCGCGCUGGAAACUGUAAGACUAGAAUCUAGGAGGGGAAGCUGGAAUUCCUGGUGUAGGGGUGAAAUCUGUAGAUAUCAGGAAGAACACCGGUGGCGAAGGCGAGCUUCUGGCCAUAGAUUGACGCUGAGGCGCGAAAGCGUGGGGAGCGAACAGGAUUAGAAACCCGGGUAGUCC
rnacentral:rRNA from 1 species